rnacentral:rRNA from 1 species
GGCGAACGCUGGCGGCGUGCCUAAUACAUGCAAGUCGAGCGGACAGACGGGAGCUUGCUCCCUGAUGUUAGCGGCGGACGGGUGAGUAACACGUGGGUAACCUGCCUGUAAGACUGGGAUAACUCCGGGAAACCGGGGCUAAUACCGGAUGGUUGUCUGAACCGCAUGGUUCAGACAUAAAAGGUGGCUUCGGCUACCACUUACAGAUGGACCCGCGGCGCAUUAGCUAGUUGGUGAGGUAACGGCUCACCAAGGCAACGAUGCGUAGCCGACCUGAGAGGGUGAUCGGCCACACUGGGACUGAGACACGGCCCAGACUCCUACGGGAGGCAGCAGUAGGGAAUCUUCCGCAAUGGACGAAAGUCUGACGGAGCAACGCCGCGUGAGUGAUGAAGGUUUUCGGAUCGUAAAGCUCUGUUGUUAGGGAAGAACAAGUGCCGUUCAAAUAGGGCGGCACCUUGACGGUACCUAACCAGAAAGCCACGGCUAACUACGUG